rnacentral:misc_RNA from 1 species
UCUCCGUCGGUGAACCAGCGGAGGGAUCAUUACUGGAAUCGCAAGAUCCCACAACCCUGUGAACCUACCGAAACGUUGCCUCGGCGGGUGCCCGGCCUCUGCGCCGGGCGCUGCGCCCGCCGGCGGCCCCCUACUCUGUCUCUGCAGCGUGGCAUCUCAGAGUCCCAGAAAACAAGUCAAAACUUUCAACAACGGAUCUCUUGGCUCUA